UUCCAUUUGGUCAUCUCGGACAGAAUAACGCUUCAAACAGCGUUUUUCGGUCCGCAAUGUGGUGCGGAGUAAGACAGAUCCAUCAUGACUCACAAUGUAAGUCAAUGGGGACGGAUCCGUUUUCUCUGACACAAUAG